ensembl:lncRNA
GGCUUGGUCCUGGGGUAAGGGCAUUCAAGGAAGGCAUCUCAGACUCCAAAUCUGGAGGUGAGAUGGGAGUGGAGGUUGGAGGGGGAACGAGAUGGCGUUCUCAUCAAGAGGCAGCAGAACGCUGAGCGAGACUCUGUGGCAGGAAGUGGCCUGGGCCACGGGGAGAAGGCCUGUGUGAUGGGGCCAAAAGCAGAAGCAGCUGGGCCAGAUAAAGACCACUGGGGUUUGGAUAUUUAGGAAUCUCCUCCACGGAACGCGGGGACGGGGACUAGAUUGCUACAUCAACGGCAGAAGUGCUGUAAUCUCAUCAGAAAAUGCUGCUUCCGGUGGUAUUUUCAACCCAGGAACAGAAGCAAGUGUCCGGAAUCACUGGAGAAAGCCCCAGGUCUCCCGAGAGCCCAUCGCGACUUUUUGUUGGCUGGGAGCACGCAUCAGUGAUCAGGCAGUUAAGGCGGCAGAUGUUGCGGGUGUUGGGGGAGGGAGGCAGAUACCUGAGACUGCGGCCGCCUUUCCUACCCUUCCCUCGCCUCCCUUUCUCAGAUCACCGUAUUAACACAGCGCUGCUCCCCACCUGCCUAAGGUCACACAGCCCGACACAGGCUGCAGACAAUCCACGCAGCCAGUGCUAGGCCCUGCCUCCCAGGCUGCUUCAUUAUCCCGCUGACAUUACCCAAAUACUAAGGCAGACUGCCAUACC